GGUUUUUAAUCAUAUUUUAACGUAGUCGUAAGCGCGCCGAUGACUUAUGCUUUAUCUAAUAACCAGCCGAUAAUAAGAAGAUAAAACGCACAGACGUGCAAUUGUACACAUUCAUGAGAUAAAUUUUUUAUGUUAAACGUAUAUAUUCGAAUAAUUUUUUUAGACAACACAAAAGUUAUAAAUUCAUUUUUAGCUCACCUGACCUGAAAGGUCAAGUGAGCUUUUCUCAUCACUUGGCGUCCGUCGUCCGUCGUCCGUCGUCCUGCGUCCGUCGUCUGUCGUCCGUCGUCCGUCGUCCGUAAACUUUUACAAAAAUCUUCUCCUCUGAAACUACUGGGCCAAAUUCUACCAAACUUGGCCACAAUCAUCCUUGGGGUAUCUAGUUUAAAAAAUGUGUGGCGUGACCCAUCAAACCAACCAAGAUGGCCGCCAUGGCUAAAAAUAGAACAUAGGGGUAAAAUGCAGUUUUUGGCUAAUAACUCAAAAACCAAAGCAUUUAGAGCAAAUCUGACAUGGGUAAAAUGGUUGAUCAGGUCAAGAUCUAUCUGCCUUGAAAUUUUCAGACGAAUAGGACAACCUGUUGUUGGGUUGCUGCCUGUGAAAUGGUUAUUUUAAGGAAAUUUUGCAGUUUUUGGUUAUUAUCUUGAAUACUAUUAUAGAUAGAGAUAAACUGUAAACAGCAAUAAUGUUCAGCAAAGUAAGACCUACAAAUAAGUCAACAUGACCAAAAUUGUCAGUUGACCCCUUAAGGAGUUAUUGCCCUUUAUAGUCAAUUUUUAACAACUUUUCGUCAUUUUUUGUAACUUUUCUAAAAAUCUUCUUCUCCAAAACUACUUUGCCAAAUUUAACCAAACUUGGCCACAAUUAUCAUUGUGGUUUAUAGUUUAAAAAAAUGUGUCCGAUGACCCAGCCUGCCAAACAAAAUGGCCGACAUGGCUAAAAUUAGAACAUAGUGGUAAAAUGCAGUUUUUGCUUUAUAUCUUUGAAACUAAGACAUUUAGGGCAAAUCUUUCAAGAUUUAAAUGUCCAUCAGAAUAAGAUAUAUCCCCUCACAAAUUUUGAGUUGAAUCGAACAACCUGUUGUUGGGUUGCUGCCCUAAAAUUGGUGAUUUUAAGGAAAUUUUGCAGUUUUUGGUUAUUAUCUUGAAUACUAUUAUAGAUAGAGAUAAACUGUAAACAGCAAUAAUGUUCAGCAAAGUAAGAUCUACAAAUAAGUCAGCAUGAUCAAAAUUGUUAGAGGACCCCUUAAGGAGUUAUUGCCCUUUAUAGUCAAUAUUGAACAACUUUUCGUCAUUUUUGUAACUUGUAUAAAAAUCUUUUCUAAAACGACUUGGCCAAAUUUAACCAAACUUGGCCACAAUCAUAAUACUAGGGUAUCUAUUUUUAAAAAAAAGUGUCUAAUGACCCCGCCUACCAACGAAGAUGGCCGACAUCAGUAAACACAUUAACAGGUGAGCGACACAGGCUCUUGAGAGCCUCUAGUUAAUUAAUGCGU
rnacentral:lncRNA from 1 species